AUUGAACGCUGGCGGAAUGCUUUACACAUGCAAGUCGAGCGGCAGCGCGGGGGCAACCCUGGCGGCGAGCGGCGAACGGGUGAGUAAUACAUCGGAACGUGUCCUUAAGUGGGGGAUAGCUCGGCGAAAGCCGGAUUAAUACCGCAUAAGCUCUGAGGAGGAAAGCGGGGGCUCCGUAAGGACCUCGCGCUGUUGGAGCGGCCGAUGUCGGAUUAGCUAGUUGGUGGGGUAAAGCCCACCAAGGCGACGAUCCGUAGCUGGUCUGAGAGGAUGAUCAGCCACACUGGAACUGAGACACGGUCCAGACUCCUACGGGAGGCAGCAGUGGGGAAUUUUGGACAAUGGGGGCAACCCUGAUCCAGCCAUUCCGCGUGAGUGAAGAA
rnacentral:rRNA from 1 species